rnacentral:rRNA from 3 species
GAGUAAUGUCUGGGAAACUGCCUGAUGGAGGGGGAUAACUACUGGAAACGGUGGCUAAUACCGCAUAACGUCGCAAGACCAAAGAGGGGGACCUUCGGGCCUCUUGCCAUCAGAUGUGCCCAGAUGGGAUUAGCUUGUUGGUGAGGUAACGGCUCACCAAGGCGACGAUCCCUAGCUGGUCUGAGAGGAUGACCAGCCACACUGGAACUGAGACACGGUCCAGACUCCUACGGGAGGCAGCAGUGGGGAAUAUUGCACAAUGGGCGCAAGCCUGAUGCAGCCAUGCCGCGUGUAUGAAGAAGGCCUUCGGGUUGUAAAGUACUUUCAGCGGGGAGGAAGGUGUUGUGGUUAAUAACCGCAGCAAUUGA